UUGUCCAUAUCCUCUCUCCUUUCUGGCCCAUGAGAAGUCUUAGAAGCGGAAGCCCUUCUUUCUCUCAAUGCCAAAUCGGUCAUUAAUGAAUCGAAAGGGCACAUUAUGGUAUGACAACCGAUCUCGCACUUUCUUCCCCAUUCUCUCCCUCCUUUCAUUCUUCCCGUAAUCCCAUCUCUGACCAUCUCCAUUUUCAUUUCGGGUAAAUCCCACCUUCAUAUUGCCUUUUAUUCGCCCCUCAAAAUAUUGGAAAGUUUUUUUCCUCCAUUAUCUCAAAUGGCUCCCUAAAGACAGAUCAAUGAAAUUCACCUUCUUCCAUUACCCAUCUUAAAAUUUCCCUCUGUUUGCACUCAGGUGUUCAACUCAUAAGGAAGAUUUAUCUUGGUUGCCUACUCCUUCCCUAUCUAUGCUUGUAGGUUGUGGACUGAUUUUCUUUGGGGAGUGGAUUGCCACUUUUCAUUUGCUCAAUCUCUGUGUGGUGUUAUUAUCAUUAUACCUUAGAAUGGGCUUAUUGGUCUUCUUAAUAUCUGAUUCUUGCUUGUCCAAAUUUCUACUACUUUUAAUUUACAUUGUUGACUAUUAAUAUCUCUAAUUUUUUUUAUUGGAUUAUGACUA